rnacentral:ncRNA from 1 species
GGUUUUGAAAUUAAAAGGGAAUUAAGUGAGAAUCUUAAACGGUCACGCCACUGUGAAAUGGACGAAGAUAGUAAAACCACUGGGAAACUGGGAAGGGCUAUUGUUAGGAUGAAGUUGAGUCAGGAUACCUGCCAUAAAAUUUAA